UACGUAGGUGGCAAGCGUUGUCCGGAUUUACUGGGCGUAAAGAGCGCGCAGGCGGUCGUUCAAGUCGCGUGUGAAAGCCCCCGGCUCAACUGGGGAGGGUCACGCGAUACUGAUCGACUCGAAGGCAGGAGAGGGUAGUGGAAUUCCCGGUGUAGUGGUGAAAUGCGUAGAUAUCGGGAGGAACACCGGCGGCGAAGGCGGCUGCCUGGACCGGCCCUGACGCUGAGGCGCGAAAGCUAGGGGAGCAAACAGG
rnacentral:rRNA from 1 species